rnacentral:pre_miRNA from 24 species
GUAGGGUGCGGAGUAGGCUGUCUAGUCGGUUUUGAACCGGUUUUGAACCGACUAGACAGCCUACUCCGCACCCUAC